UACGGAGGGGGCUAGCGUUGUUCGGAAUUACUGGGCGUAAAGCGCACGUAGGCGGCUUUGUAAGUUAGAGGUGAAAGCCCAGGGCUUAAUCCUGGAAUUGCCUUUAAGACUGCAUCGCUCGAAUUGUGGAGAGGUGAGUGGAAUUCCGAGUGUAGAGGUGAAAUUCGUAGAUAUUCGGAAGAACACCAGUGGCGAAGGCGACUUACUGGACACAUAUUGACGCUGAGGUGCGAAAGCGUGGGGAGCAAACAGG
rnacentral:rRNA from 1 species